AUGAAGGGUAUGAAGAGAAAUGCCUCUUCCUUAGUUCAAGAGAGUAAGGCAGGCAACAAGGAUGAGGGUCCGGCGGAAGUCAAGAAACAAGAGAACACUGACCUGGAGAAACUCUAUGUAGCAGGCCUUCGUCGGAGACAUGGCCGAACUACAAUUGUCAAGUGCCUCCGGUGUACACGCUUCAUUGGCUUCUUUAUCCUUAUGUGUGGAAAUUUGGCUUGUAAGUUUUGCAUCGAUUGGGGAAACAUCCUAACACUAUCCAGUUGUAGUGAUAGCUUUGGGCGUGAUUGUGCUUCCUUUCAUGUAAGUGUCUUCCCCCCCAAGUAA
rnacentral:rRNA from 1 species